rnacentral:rRNA from 1 species
GGACCCGCACAAGCGGUGGAGCAUGUGGUUUAAUUCGAUGCAACGCGAAGAACCUUACCAGGGUUUGACAUCCUGCGAAUCUCUUGGAAACGAGAGAGUGCCUUCGGGAACGCAGUGACAGGUGGUGCAUGGCUGUCGUCAGCUCGUGUCGUGAGAUGUUGGUUAAGUCCCGCAACGAGCGCAACCCACGUCUUUAGUUGCCAGCAUUUAGUUGGGCACUCUAGAGAGACCGCCGGUGAUAAACCGGAGGAAGGUGUGGAUGACGUCAAGUCAUCAUGCCCCUUACAUCCUGGGCUACACACGGUACUACAAUGCUACGGACAAAGGGCAGCAAGUUCGCGAGGACAAG